rnacentral:tRNA from 1 species
GCCGGGGUAGCUCAGUCGGUUAGAGCACCAGAUUGUGGAUCUGGGGGUCGGCGGUUCGAGCCCGCCCCUCGGUACCA